AUUGAACGCUGGCGGCAUGCCUUACACAUGCAAGUCGAACGGCAGCAUGGAGAGCUUGCUCUCUGAUGGCGAGUGGCGAACGGGUGAGUAAUGCAUCGGAACGUACCGUGUAAUGGGGGAUAACGUAGCGAAAGUUACGCUAAUACCGCAUACGACCUGAGGGUGAAAGCAGGGGAUCGCAAGACCUUGCGUUAUACGAGCGGCCGAUGUCAGAUUAGCUAGUUGGUGAGGUAAAGGCUCACCAAGGCGACGAGCUGUAGCGGGUCUGAGAGGAUGAUCCGCCACACUGGGACUGAGACACGGCCCAGACUCCUACGGGAGGCAGCAGUGGGGAACUUUGGACAAUGGGGGCAACCCUGAUCCAGCCAUGCCGCGUGAGUGAAGAAGGCCUUCGGGUUGUAAAGCUCUUUCGGCCGGGAAGAAAUCGCACAGGCUAAUACUCUGUGUGGAUGACGGUACCGGCAUAAGAAGCACCGGCUAACUACGUGCCAGCCGCCGCGGUAA
rnacentral:rRNA from 1 species